GAGUGAAAUGAUGGUAUACCAUCUUUUGGGACUGCAAUGGAGAACUACUUUUGAGUGUUAAUGAUCACUC